rnacentral:lncRNA from 1 species
GACAUCAUAUUCAGUUCAUGCACUUCAUCCCAUCAGAUUUAGAUUUUAUCCAGCUUUUCUGCCUUGACAACAGGGUUGGCUUUAGCUAUCGCAUCCCGUGCAGCAGUGCGAUAAUCAAAAGGGCAGUCAUGUUUGUCUGAGUAGCGGUGUGUUGCACAGAAAAGGUGACCGCAUCGACAAUUGAAUCCUGUCAAACCAACUCGUUUCUUGCAGGUGCUGCACCGGUUUGGACCCUCCUUUGGCUUGGCCUCGCCACUCCCCUCAGAGCCAAAAGAAAAGGAUGACUGCACAGAAAUGAUCUUUGGCUCCUUUGCAUCAACUUGCACAUCCACAGUGGAUGCAAUAGCAGGUUCCUUUCCAUUGUUGCUUGACGAUCCAUUAACAAUGCUGUCUAUGGAUGAUGCAGCAAGUUUAGCCUGCUCUUGUUUCAACAUCAUAUCUUUGUGGCACUUGGAACACAUGUUCAUAGUUGCCGGGCUUCCAAAGAACCCACAAUUGUUUAUGCACAAAAUGGGACCCUCUGGAUGAGCUUGGCAUCCAGUCUCAUCAUGAUCC